AAAUUUGGCAAGAACAUGGAGACGCGCCAGGCUUUCCACGUGUGCGCAGCGCUCCCAGCUGAGCAGGCGAGGGUUCUCUUCCGGGUCAGGUACACCAUGGACAAUGGCUGUACAACCGCUCAUCCAGAGCCCAUCAAUGAUCACUAUUCUUGAUUUAAAAGGACCACUUUGAGAGGAAGCCAAAUGGCGCUAUUGCAUGUGUGGACUUCAGAGCUCUAAACUCAACACCGUUGUGGAUUGUCAUCUUCUACCCAACAUCGGUGAUGUACUUCUCACCUUGAAAUAGGCAACAGUCUUUACUAACCUUUAUUUAUCCUCAGCUAAACGCCAGAUACCCUUUACUGUAAAAAGCCUGCAAGUGCAUAGCUUUCAUUAAAUCAGAAGGUUAGUGCCAAUUCAAUCACAUACCAUUUGGGUUAACUACUGCAGUGUCCCUAUUCUGAAGAAUGAUUCUACGGUGGAUGGGAGGAAUGCUGGUAUUUUCUGAGCAUCCUAGCAUUCAAUAACCAAAAGGUUAGACCCAGGUAGCUAGUGUUGCAUAAAAAAGCCUCUGCCUGAACUUAUUUGCAAAGCUACACCAAACUGUAGGGUCUAAGG